rnacentral:tRNA from 1 species
GUGAGUGUAGCUCAGUUGGAUAGAGCACUGGGUUGUGGCCCCAGCGGUCGAGGGUUCGAGUCCCUUCACUCACCCCA